CAUGGACAAUGAACAGCGACCCAUGAAGAAUACCGAAACGACAUGACAUUCCUCGACAACGACCAUGAACACUGACUUAAGAUUUGCCUCUUGUGAUUAUAUGCUAAAGUGGAUGUGACCACUUGUAUUCGCAGUAUGGUGGAUUUCUACCAUGGAUUUGAUGUUAUGUAUGCAGAGAAGACGGUUCGAAGCCAAUUGUGAAAUGAGAUACUAUUUGCAAUUACUAACUCUUGUAUUCAACUUAAGUUUGAAUUUAUGUAACAUUUGCUUUAUAAUUUUCAUGUUUCAAUAUUUACAUAUUUUUAUUGAUUUUGAUUGACCAAUUUCGUAUCUAGUUUAAGUCCAAUAGCCGGUCUAUUGUUUCUUUUUCUUGAUGUUUAUAGUGCUAAACGUAGUCUGGACAACUACAAGAAUUUUGAAAGCUCAGUCAAAAUCAACAGAAUUGUGAAAGCAACUUAUUUUUCUUUUAACUUUAAUUCAUGAAGACGAGCGAUUUAAAACCCAUGAUCACGCACCUUGUAAUUUACAAAAACAAAAAAACUGGAUAUCGUUGGUAUUUGUCACAAAGCUAAUUAAAGCACUUGACAGGUUAUCCAAAGCUAAGGAAGGCAUUCUGAUAACCUUGACCAAGAUAUUGUUCUAUUGAAAGUGCAACCGGUAUUCUGUCCGGGUUGAAAUUUUAAGGAGGUUAUAAGGGGCCUGCCUUAGAUGAAUUUCGAACCUCAACGGACCAGAAACUAGCAUUAAAUAGACGAUGUUUUAUUGUUGUAUAUUACUUGGUUUUUAUUUUCGUGUAAAUGGUUCUCACUUACGUUUACGAAGUAGAGGUUCGUCCGAAUGUACGUUUACGAAGUAGAGGUUCGUCCGAAUGAUAUAUAUAUUUUUUUCAAAAUUAAUACGCAAAAUUCUGAAAAUUUAGAGAGGUUCAUGUCAUAUAUAUGUAUAGAUAUUGAUGUUAAAAUUUAUACAGCUUCGGGGUCCGAAGCUAGAGGGAUGUUGGAAGAGUUGUCAUGUUGUAAAAAUGCAUGAAAUUGUGAAAUUUUGCACUUGAUUCUUUUUAAGUCAUGUUUGGUAUCAAAAGUCAAUAUUUCUUAUGAGUAAUUCAGUUUCAAUAUUUUUAUUAUGCUAGAAGUGUUUUUUUUCUUUCAGAAAACAAGAUUUUGAACUUUUUUUCAAUAAUUUUAUAAAAGACAUGUAUUAGUCGUUUUAGCGUUACUAUGAAAUAUUUAUGGAUUAAGAUUAAGAUUAUGUCGUGAGAAUACUUUUUGACAACAAUGGUCAUCAAUGUAAUUUAUUUGUCAAC
rnacentral:lncRNA from 1 species